rnacentral:rRNA from 1 species
GAUGAACGCUAGCUACAGGCUUAACACAUGCAAGUCGAGGGGAAACGAUAUUGGAAGCUUGCUUCCGAUAGGCGUCGACCGGCGCACGGGUGUGUAACGCGUAUCCAACCUGCCCACCACUUGGGGAUAACCUUGCGAAAGUAAGACUAAUACCCAAUGAUAUCUCUAGAAGACAUCUGAAAGAGAUUAAAGAUUUAUCGGUGAUGGAUGGGGAUGCGUCUGAUUAGCUUGUUGGCGGGGUAACGGCCCACCAAGGCGACGAUCAGUAGGGGUUCUGAGAGGAAGGUCCCCCACAUUGGAACUGAGACACGGUCCAAACUCCUACGGGAGGCAGCAGUGAGGAAUAUUGGUCAAUGGACGAGAGUCUGAACCAGCCAAGUAGCGUGCAGGAAGACGGCCCUAUGGGUUGUAAACUGCUUUUAUAAGGGAAUAAAGUGAGUCUCGUGAGACUUUUUGCAUGUACCUUAUGAAUAAGGACCGGCUAAUUCCGUGCCAGCCGCCGCGGUAA